CUCACUGUACAGUACCUCAUCGAACUCAACAUGACCAGGGCCAUUAUUUCAUGGAUUCUGUUACUGCUUUGCAGUCAAGGAACAGUAGGUGCAGAUGAUGUUAUACAAAAGCCUAAGAUUCUUUGGGGACACAAGGAUAGUUCUGUUCAUAUGAACUGCACACACAAUAAGGGCUCAACAUACAGACUGAUGUACUGGUACAGACAGCGGCAAGGACAAACUAUGAGACUCAUAGCAUUCACAACCUCUUACACCGAACCAGAAUAUGAAGAUUCUGAGCUGAAUAAAUUUGUGGCCAAUAAAACGGUUGCUGAGAAUGGAUCUCUGACUGUUAACAAUUUGCAGCCGAAUGAUAGUGCCACAUAUUUCUGUUCAGUGAGUGAAUACACAGUGUAUCAAACUCAGGGGAGAGCUGUACAAAAAACAGGUGUCUUAAAAUGAGAGAUAAUUAUUGAUCAACAGGGGGCAGUGUGAUUCAAGAAAUUUUUAGCCUACUCACAAAUGGAGCCGUUUGCAUAAGAGAUUUUAAUGAAUGAUGAUGAAUCAUUAUCACUGUCCACCUUCUGUA